UCCGGCGUAGCUCCACCGGCAGAGCGGGUGGCUAUUAACCACUAGGCUGGGGGUUCGAGUCCCUCCGCCGGAGCCA
rnacentral:tRNA from 1 species